rnacentral:lncRNA from 1 species
AUAACCUUAACUUUUAUCCACUGUCAGAUUUUAUAGCCACCACUAUACACAAAUGACACAGAAAAUUAAUCACUCCACAUAAUUAUUUAACUUAUUAUCUACUUAUAAGUUAUAAUCAACAAUAGCAUUAGGCUCAGAAGUGGGAACUGAGGUGGCCAAGAAUCCUUCCCACUUUUGCUUUCAAAGCUGAAAGAAAAAGAGAAUCCCAGAGACAACUGGCAAAAUGACGCCGAUUUGUCCAUGUAAAAAGAUGGCCACAAGAAAUUCUGUUAUCAUGUGAUCUCGGUGCAUGUCACAUGACCUCCCACUCUCGUGACUCCACCACCAUGUUGUUAUCAGAUUGGUGGUCAUAUUCUUGGCCUCUGGCAGUGUCUCCGACGACAAGGUUGCACCGAAGAAUGAGAGCAUUUCUUGUGUACAGUCGCCUUUUUCGUAGGUGAUGGGAAAUCUUGAUAGACUAGAUCGUGGUCCGAUGGCCAGAGAUCCCUUGCAUCCAAUUGGUUGAUCAUUGUUAAGAUCAUGAUGAACGUCACGACGCCAUAUUGCUGCCAACAGCAACUGUGCUCCAUUCCACGAACUCUCUCUGAAUAUAUUUUGUGCAUUUCUCUAUCUAGAGAUCUCUUAUUUGUACUUCAAGAGGGAAUUUAAACUUGUUGAUGUAUGUGUUUGUUUUCUAUAAAUU